AUGAACGCUGGCGGCGUGCCUAAUACAUGCAAGUCGAGCGAACAGACGAGGAGCUCGCUCCUCUGACGUUAGCGGCGGACGGGUGAGUAACACGUGGAUAACCUACCUAUAAGACUGGGAUAACUUCGGGAAACCGGAGCUAAUACCGGAUAAUAUAUUGAACCGCAUGGUUCAAUAGUGAAAGACGGUUUUGCUGUCACUUAUAGAUGGAUCCGCGCCGCAUUAGCUAGUUGGUAAGGUAACGGCUUACCAAGGCAACGAUGCGUAGCCGACCUGAGAGGGUGAUCGGCCACACUGGAACUGAGACACGGUCCAGACUCCUACGGGAGGCAGCAGUAGGGAAUCUUCCGCAAUGGGCGAAAGCCUGACGGAGCAACGCCGCGUGAAUGAUGAAGGUCUUCGGAUCGUAAAACUCUGUUAUUAGGGAAGAACAAAUGUGUAAGUAACUAUGCACGUCUUGACGGUACCUAAUCAGAAAGCCACGGCUAACUACGUG
rnacentral:rRNA from 1 species